CUCCUUUAAAUGUAUAGCUGUCCGCGGCGCUGCCUGCCUGGAAAUGAGUGAAUGCAAACCUAGGCAAAGACCGUCCGACUGUUUAUUCCCAUCCCUGGCACUGAUAUGAUUGCUAAUAAAGAGUGGUGAUAAUUUUAUGAGGGGGACUCGGAUGUGAACGUGGGCUCCCUGAGGGCAGGCGGGCCGGGCCCGUGUCGGCCCGGG